rnacentral:rRNA from 1 species
UACAGAGGUCUCAAGCGUUGUUCGGAUUCAUUGGGCGUAAAGGGUGCGUAGGUGGCGCGCUAAGUUAGGUGUGAAAUUUCGGGGCUCAACCCCGAAACUGCAUUUGAUACUGGCGUGCUUGAGGACUGGAGAGGAGACUGGAAUUCACGGUGUAGCAGUGAAAUGCGUAGAUAUCGUGAGGAAGACCAGUGGCGAAGGCGGGUCUCUGGACAGUUCCUGACACUGAGGCACGAAGGCCAGGGGAGCAAACGGG